GGCGAUCAGAUACCGCCCUAGUUCUGACCGUAAACGAUGCCAACUAGCGAUCCGCCAGUCGACUCAUCGCUCUGGUGGGGAGCUUCCCGGAAACGAAAGUCUUCCGGUUCCGGGGGAAGUAUGGUUGCAAAGCUGAAACUUAAAGGAAUUGACGGAAGGGCACCACCAGGAGUGGAGCCUGCGGCUUAAUUUGACUCAACACGGGGAAACUCACCCGGCCCGGACACCGUAAGGAUUGACAGAUUGAUAGCUUUUUCAUGAUUCGGUGGAUGGUGGUGCAUGGCCGUUCUUAGUUCGUGGAGCGAUUUGUCUGGUUUAUUCCGAUAACGAGCGAGACUCUGGCCUACUAAAUAGUUGACGCAUUGCCACUGUGCGCACAACUUCUUAGAGGGAUUUUCGGUGUUUUCAACCGCACGAAAUUGAGCAAUAACAGGUCUGUGAUGCCCUUAGAUGUCCGGGGCUGCACGCGCGCUACACUGGCAAAAUCAGCGUGCUUGUCCUCCCCCGAAAGGGGUUGGUAAACCGAUGAAAAUUUGCCGUGAUUGGGAUCGGACAUUGCAAUUAUUGUCCGUGAACGAGGAAUCCCUUGUAAGGGCGAGUCAUCAACUCGUCCUGAAUACGUCCCUGCCCUUGUA
rnacentral:rRNA from 1 species